CGAGUUUGUGGGUGCUAAACCCAUACAGGCGAAAGGAAACUAAUUCGUGGGAUCCCCUUCGGGGGUGCACCACGGACUGACCUUGAUCUUUUGAGAAGGGUUAUGUUAUAG
rnacentral:ncRNA from 1 species